GUGCGAGGCUGCGAAUUAUACGUAGGCCAUAAAAUUGAAUAAGAUGGAGUGAAUCUUGCAGAGCAAAACAGGUUUGCUGGAUUUUUCGCAGCGAACGAGAUAGUGUGACCGGUGCGUGCUCGCUAGUUUGUUCGCAGCUAACUACAAGGUACGAUCAGAGUUACCAGCAUGUGGAUCAAAAUCACAACUCUUAUCCUUAUCGUCAUAUUCGCAUUGACAAAAGGAUUUGAACAGUUGGAAGGAGACAAAGUUGACAAUCCGGUCGAAAUCCAGUCAAGCAGCAGGUCAUUCGCCCCCGAAAUGGCAGGUGCACAGUUCCGACGACUGAACUCCAAUUGCAAAGAAGACUACCACAUUGACUAUGAUGGAAAAUGCAAGCAUGUUGAAGCAACUAAUUUACCGAGCGCGAUUGGUGCAUAACGUAAACUCCAUUUACAAUUUUUUAAAUUAUAAAUUUGACAGGAAAUCAAUAUCAUAUGAUUUUCUUGAAUCAAAACUUAUUUUGAUGGUUACUAAUUUCAUUCCAUUUUAUUAUUUGUUGAUAUAAAUCUGUAAGAGCAGAUAGUAUUAUUGACAAAUAAAGAACAUUAUUCUAAA